AACGAACGCUGGCGGCAUGCCUAACACAUGCAAGUCGAACGAUUGCCUUCGGGUGAUAGUGGCGCACGGGUGCGUAACGCGUGGGAAUCUGCCCUUAGGUUCGGAAUAACAGCUGGAAACGGCUGCUAAUACCGGAUGAUAUCGCGAGAUCAAAGAUUUAUCGCCUGAGGAUGAGCCCGCGUUGGAUUAGGUAGUUGGUGGGGUAAAGGCCUACCAAGCCGACGAUCCAUAGCUGGUCUGAGAGGAUGAUCAGCCACACUGGGACUGAGACACGGCCCAGACUCCUACAGGAGGCAGCAGUGGGGAAUAUUGGACAAUGGGCGCAAGCCUGAUCCAGCAAUGCCGCGUGAGUGAUGAAGGCCCUAGGGUUGUAAAGCUCUUUUACCCGGGAAGAUAAUGACUGUACCGGGAGAAUAAGCCCCGGCUAACUCCGUG
rnacentral:rRNA from 1 species